GAUUAAGAACGUAGUGAAAUGCGAUAAGUAAUGUGAAUUGCAGAAUUCAGUGAAUCAUCGAAUCUUUGAACGCACAUUGCGCCCGCCAGUAUUCUGGCGGGCAUGCCUGUUCGAGCGUCAUUUCAACCAUCAAGCCUCAGGCUUGUGUUGGAGCCCUGCGGCUGCCGCAGCCUCCCAAAACCAGUGGCGGGCUCGCUAUCACACCGAGUGCAGUAGUUUACUCUUCGCUCAGGGCGUGUGGCGGGUGCUAGCCGUGAAACCCCCAACUUCUCAAGGUUGACCUCGGAUCAGGUAGGAAUACCCGCUGAACUUAAGCAUAUCAAUAAGCGGAGGA
rnacentral:misc_RNA from 1 species